UCGAGGGGUAUGGCAGCAAUGCCAGAGACCGGCGCACGGGUGCGUAACGCGUAUGCAACCUACCUUUCACAGGGGGAUAGCCCAGAGAAAUUUGGAUUAAUACCCCAUGGUAUAUUGAGAUGGCAUCAUCUUAUUAUUAAAGUCACAACGGUGAAAGAUGGGCAUGCGUCCUAUUAGCUAGUUGGUGUGGUAACGGCAUACCAAGGCUACGAUAGGUAGGGGUCCUGAGAGGGAGAUCCCCCACACUGGUACUGAGACACGGACCAGACUCCUACGGGAGGCAGCAGUGAGGAAUAUUGGUCAAUGGGCGCAAGCCUGAACCAGCCAUGCCGCGUGCAGGAUGAAGCAUCUAUGGUGUGUAAACUGCUUUUGUACGGGAAGAAACCCCUCCACGUGUGGAGGAUUGACGGUACCGUAAGAAUAAGGAUCGGCUAACUCCGUGCCACCAGCCGCGGUAAUACGGAGGAUCCAAGCCGUUAUCCGGAAUCAUU
rnacentral:rRNA from 1 species